CCUGGGUAUGAGAGGUGCAUGCAUAGCGCUUGAGGUUGCCGAAGUCACAGGUGCUGUCCUCCAGGCAGAAACUGGCCUUGUGGCCCUCGGCCACCUUCUUGCCUGUGGCUGCAUCCAGUAGGUCGUAGUGGCUGAACUCGUCCAUGCUGUGGUAAUGCCUAGGGGCAGAGGAGAGAAGGAGAAAGAAGAGGGCCUAGUCUUCCCUGGGCCUCUCAUCCUGUCCCCAUCCUGAGAUGGGCUCAGGUGACCCUGCUGUGGCACAGCCUCCUGGCUGGUCUAGGUUCUCCUGUCUCCUGAGUACUGCGGGGUGGCCCCUCUGUGCUCCCCACCUAGCUGGGUCACUCCAGGACAGCACAUGCUCUAGACCCCUCACUUCCUUUUUGGGCUCCCACCUGUAAUGGCCUCACUGGGCAAUGCCCUGUAUUCUAGACAUUUCCAUCCCUGAUUGAGACCAAUCCUUCUAUAUCCAUCUUCCAGCCUAGCUUUGGCUAAGGCUUCUCUGAGAAACACUUGCCCCAGUGAAAAGAGUUGGCAGGUAACACCUCCCCGGGCCCUCUAAUCCAGUAUCUGUGUCUCCCAGAGUGCUCAUGGUGGGAGGGGAGCUCAGGCACCAAGGUCCCUGGCCCAGAGGAGAAGUGGAAGAGGACGGGCCCAGCCCCUCCCCACUCACUGGUGGCAGCUGUGCCACUCCCAGGUGUGCCGUGGCCGGUUGGGGAGGAAGUCUGCUGUGCCCUGGUUCUUCACGCGCUGGGGGAAGCGCAGUAGCACCCGCACAUCGUAGUCGGUGGCCUCAGGGGCAUAGGCUGUGCUGCAGGGACGGCGGGGGAGAUGAGGGGGGGUUGGGGCACAGUGACACCAGAACCCAGCAUGGGCCCCCUCAGCCCCACCCCCAGCCCUUGGCCACUGGUUCUGCAGCCCCACUCCUUGUCCCUGAAGAUCUUCUCCUCUGUCUCCUCGAACUGUGGCGGAGGCUCAGGCCUCUUCCUCUGUCUUCUGACCCCGUGAAAUCCUGGCUGUCCCCUCCUUUCUGGCCUCCACCAUGUGGCCGCCAGCUGCCAACAGCAUCUUUCUAAAGCGGUACCAAGCAUGGCAGUGUCCCUGAUACCUGCAGGUGACUCAGCUGGGGUCAGCCCCUAGGUGCAGGAGCACAUAGCAAUCUCUGAAGGGCCACUGAAAAACAGCCCUAUUGCGGGGGCCAGGCACUUUGGCUCAUGCCUGUAAUUACAGAGCUUUUUGGAGGUCGAGGCAGGAGGAUCACUUGAGGCCCAUAGUUUGAGACCAGCCUGGGCAACAUAGUGAGAAAUUAAAAUUUAAAAAAUUAAUUUAAUUAAAGAAAUUUUUAAAAAAUUAAAAAAUUAGCCAGGUAAGGUGGCUUAUGCCUGUAGUCCCAGCUACUUGGAGACUGAUCCCUUGAGCCCAGGAAUUUGAGGCUGCAAUGAGCUAUAAUUGUGCUGCUGCACUCCAGUCUGGGCAACAGAGUGAGACCCCCUUUCUAAAAAAAAGAAAAAAAAAAGUCCUAUCCAGGAGAUUCUGAUAAGUCUCUGACAACAAGACAGAGCCCUAAUUGUUGACCAAAGUAUGCCAUGUCUUGGGUGUGGGCCUGAAAAACAGACGUGAAGUCCUCUGGUCAAAGCCUCUUCACUUUUCUAGUCCCAUCUGCCCUUCCACUCCCCCACACACCCUGGGUUCCUGCUUCAAAGCCUAUUUUCCAAACAGGCUGAACUUUUUCCCUGACCCAUACUUUUGCCCAUGCUGUUUGCUUGACCCAGAAUUCCAAAACUCACCCAGUAUCCUAGGGUCAACUCAAAAGUCCCCUCCUCCAGGAAGUCUGCCCUGAUUGCUCUACAUAGAGGAUCCGGAUUGCCUGUGAGCUCUAACAGCACUGACUGCAGCACAGCCCGAUACCAUCUACAUCUUGCACUGGGUCCAGACCACCUCUCCCUGAUUGCAUGGCUUCAGGCUGGCAACCUGCCCUUUUCCAUUCAGGGAACAUGGGUCUGGUAUGAAUUGCCUGCUCGCAAGUCACCUGCUGACUCCAGAUUUCCAACUGAGGUAGGCCUUGUGACAAAAGGAAAAGGGUGGAAAGAGGAACGAGGGGCUGCAGUGAGGGGAGACACACACACAUGCACACAUACACACACAUGCACACACAUGUGUGGUAGGAACAGGAAGGGGUGGCUGAAGGCCCCUCCCCUCUUUAGCUGACGGCUGACAGCUAACUCUGUUGGCCUCAGGGGCUCUUCCCUGGCACUCAUUAAGGUCCGAUCCUAAGGCCAGAGGGGAGCGGUGGCCAGUCGUAGGGAUUAGCGCUCUCUUUGAGAGAAUGUCUGGACAACAGGCGGCUCAGACUGUCUGCCAGGAUGAAAGGCCCUCAGCCUUGUCUGGGGGAGGCUUGGAAUCUGUCUAUGUCUGGGUUGAAACAAAACAUCCUCCUUCCCUCUGUUCAGUUAAAUCCUGCCCUUCUGUUCGGCUCAGCACACCGUGGGAAACCAUAAGGGUCUAGGUUCUAGGCCCAGCUUGGCCACAAACUGGUGGUGAGACUUGGAAUUGGUCCCUUUUCUUCUCUGGGUUCUGCCUGCAGCAUGUGAACUGGCACCAGCCUGCGGCCCAUACUUGAAAUGAUCUCAGAGGGCCCUCCUGCCCCAGGGCUCCAGUUUUGCAGGAUUCUCCAGGUCUGAACUCCCACGCCCACCUCCUCUGAGGCCUCAGCCCUUGCUGAUCCCUCCCUCCUCUGACCUCCAGCAGCCCUGGCCUGUGAACCAGUCCUUCUGGCUCUUUUCCCACUCGUGUCUUGGUUCUGUCACUGGGGUACAGGUGAGGGCUGUUCUCUCCAGCUGUACCAGGAGACCCUCCAGGACAGAGGACAGGCUGCCUCCUCUCCCCAGCUGGGAGCGCAGGUCCGGGCACUCAGGAUCCUUCAUGAAGAGGCAGUGAUGUUAAUAGUUUGACUUUGACUAAUUCUCUUAAGACUGGAAGGGCUGUCAUGGAGGCUGUAAGUUCCUCAUUGCUGGAGGAAUUCCAGCAGGACCAUUAUGCUCUCUUCCCCAAGACAACUGAAACAAGACAAGAACUGCCCAGACAGGCUGGCUGAGUGGUACUCAGCCUGCGGUCCCUGGACCAGGGGCAGUUCCCACACUGAUGCCAGUCUGGGAUGGGAUUGGGAACUUGCACCAGAAUGUACAUCGACAACAUUCCUAAUCACUCUGCUUAGUUCAGCGGAUACUUUUUCUUUUUUUAAAGCAAGACUUUCUCAAUGAAGGAGUGAGUUGAGUUACAUUCUAGUUCAAGCUCUUUAUCUUGUUACAGACAGAUAAGGGUUUAUGAUCAGCUACUUAGAGUGGCAGUGAACUAGAAGUUCUAGAAAUGAGAAAAUGUUGAGAUUCUAAAGAGUUUCCUAGAUAGUAAAAAGUCAAACUAAACAGAGAGUUCAAAUGUCCAAAAAGCAGGUAAUUAAGAAAAAUAGGUGCUUUCAACAUAAAGGGAUAUUAACAAAAGAAGCAGAUAACAUAAUCUUAACUAAUUAUUUUGGCCCAGGGAGGUAUCCGCAAAGCACCUAUGUUCCAGCAGAAUAUGAACUGCUUAUAAAUUAGAAGCAAACACUGCGAGAGGCAGGAUCACCCAUGAAUAAUGGCGAGCCAGCUGUGCUCACCUUCUAGGUUCAUGGAAACUGGUCUCCUUCCCCUCUUUCCAGUGCAACAUAUAACUGAAACUUCUUUGUCCCCCGGGCUCACUGCCCCUGCUGUGACUAGGCAGAGGCAGCCUGGACCAGCCAAAGCCACAACUGUCCUCUGUGGACAUGGCUCCAUACUCCUGGGCUCUAUCCUGCAGGUACAUCCACCCAAUAGGACUUCCUUGGGUCCCUGUAUGACCACUGGAAGCCUGGGCUCCCAAAAGGAACCUUCUCAUUAAACAGCUCAGAUCCAAAAGGUUUGAGUUCCUUUCAUUGCUCCUCAGUUUCCUGAGGGGGUAACCCAUGCCUUCAGGGCUCAUAUAAAGAUGAAGUGCCACAGUAAAAGUGGAGUUCCUUGUAUAGUGAGGUACAGUAUACAGAAAUGCUGGGCCCCCGCUUGCUCCCCUCCCCUCCUGACUCCCUCGGGGCAGGCAAGGCUCACUGAUGAAACGGUCAGGGUCCUGGGAGGCUGGGGCACUUGGCCAGGGUCAUCAGCUUGCAGACAGCCUAGCUGGCAGCCACAGCUAGGCUGGGUUCUGGGUGACUCCCGGGGACUAUCCCAACACUCUACACUUCUGCCUCAGCUCCUUACCUGGCCAGACACUUCUCCUCCGCAGCACAGCGCAGGGAGUACAGGUGGGCUCUCUGCACAUAAGUGGAUGCUUGCACAUAGUUGGGGUCUGGGACCAAGUCAGGGAGACCUGGAGUGGGCAGUGGGAGAGAAGGGGGGAGGGAGGAAGAGCAUGACAUUGAGAGCAUCAGGUUGGCCACUGCUAAUGCCCAGAGACCUCCUCACACCCCAAACAUCCUCUCAUACCCCAAAACCCUUUGCCAUUCUCCUUGGGUGUUAGGUCCUGGGCCCAGGUGUGGGGUCAGGGAAGUCAGGCAGCAAGAGCUUACAUCUCGAGCUCUGCGGUGUGGGAGCUGCUAAGACUUCCUGGAAAAGCUUGGACAUGAACAAGAUCUGGGAGAUGGGGCAGGAUUUAGAGAAUCAGAGAGCGGGAAAGGGUGUCCACGGCAGGGAAAACAGCAUGAACAAAGACCUGGAGGCAGGAAUGAGUGAACCAUGUAAUUUCCUGACAGAGGCACUCCCUCGAGUCCUUACUCCCCAGGCCUCUGGACAGCAGCCCCCAGACACCCUCCGUUCCUCUCAUCCCUGCAGUCAGCAUUCUUUGUAAACCACCAAGAGAGCCCUGGGCUUCUGGCCUGGAGUGUGUCCCUGAAGGUUCAUGGGCAGAGCCAGGUGGAUGCAGGCUGGCAGGAGUCAGGGUGGGCAGGAAGGGAUGGGCUAGAAGGAAAACACUUCCCCAGAGCAGGCUGCUGACAGGGCAGGAUUCUCAGCCUGGGCACCCAGCCUGACCUUCUCAGGAUUCCUUUCUGCCUGGUGCAGCCACUCCUCCCCAUACCCCCGCCCCCCAUCACCUGCCACCACUUCCUGCCAUCAUCACCCUAGACCUGACCACACCCUCCUCUGUCUGCAACCUCCGGCCACCAACCUGAGGGAGGCCCUGGCUCUCUCCCCUGCAAGGCCUGGGGUCAAGCGCCCAGGGGAAGUCUGGAGACUGCCCCCGUCCUUGUGGUCCCUUGUUCCCCAGGAUGUGCCAGAGCCCGGGGCCUGUCCGUCCUGUUCCUGCCCCUCCACCUUCCUCCCUGGGCAUGCAGGAGUCUGAGCAGGAGUUACUAGGAAUAAGCAGAAACCAAACUUAGGUGUCCAGACUCCAUUCUGCAUUGGAAUGAAGAGGGAAUAUCUCCUCUGUUCGUGAUGGGGUGUGGGCUGGGGUGGGUGCGGGCAGCAGUGGGUGUGGGCAGGGGGGACUCCAGGGCCCUGGGCUCUAUCCCAGCCCAGCCACUGACUUAAAGGGGAGUGGUUCUGGGGCCUCUAAUUCCGUCUCCUCUCUGGCCUCAGGGAUUCUGUCAGGUAAGUGAUAAGAUGAGGCUGUAAGCUCCUCUUAGUUUCUUUGAAGUCCUCUGCUCUUGAGGGAUUCAGGAAGGGUGAGAGCAGGCAAGGUGGGAGGACUUGAGUCCCAUGGAGGGAUUUCCCACCCCUUUCCUGCUGCCAAGACCCUCUCAUCAGCUUUUAGGUCUGGAAGAUGAGGCCAAGGAGGGGAAGGCUGGCUUCUAAGCCAUCGGCAGAAGUGUCUGCCAGCAUAUCCCCCACCCCACACCACCCUGAGUUCCCAGACCCUAGCUUUGCUCUCCCUGGGGCCUGGGCCUCAUGGGGGAGCCUGGUCCAGGCAGCCAGGGUGAUCUCACCUACUUGGAAUGAUGAGGAAGCUUGGAGUACAAGGGUGGGUGAGGAUGAGGUGGCUCCUGGCUGGUGGGGGACUUCUUGGCCAGCCUAGGCCCUGUUACUUGAGCCCCUAGGAAUGUUUGCAGUCAUUUCCCAAGGGACCCAUAGGCCCUCAAGCCAGCUGGGAGCUGGUUCUCACUCUCUGGACCCUGGAAGCCUCUGGGGGAGGGGUGAGGAUGAGAGGGAUGGGCCCCUUCCCCAUCACCCAGUGCCUUUCCCUCAGCUGCGUAUAGGGUGGGGUAGCUGGGCCUUAAGACUCAGGAGACCCAGCAUUUGACAUCAGACAGCUUGCUGCCCCCACCCCAGGCCCAGUUUCAAGAAAUACUGCACAGAUGGCUCCACAAAGCUUUUGUGGCCUGACCCUUCCUAUCUAGGCUAUUUCAUGAGCUGGCUAUGCAACCCAGGGAAGUUGGAGGAGCGGGAGGAAGAGGCCAGGUGGGGCCAGUGAGGGCCAAUGCUGUUCCUGGCCUCUCCCAGCCCUGACUAUGUACACACACUGAGCCCUGUGCCUGAUCACAGUCUGCACCCUGACCUUGGUCACAGACUGACCUCUGACCCUGGUCACAUUAAGCGCUGACCUUGGUCACAUACUGAACCCUGGCCCUGGGCACACCCUGAGCCUUGACCCUGAUCACACACCAAGCCCUGUUCCUGAUCCCAGUCUGAGUCCCGAUGCUGGUCACACACCGAGCCCUGAUCCUGGUCACAGACGGAGGUCUGAUGCCUAUCAGCAAUUCUGAAUCUCAGUCUCAUUUCUGUUUGUCCCCUGAUGAUGGACUAAAGCUCUUCAGCUAAAGGAAAAAAAAAAAAACAGGAAUUGCUGUGAUAUCAUCAAGUCUGAUUAAAACUGAGUGGAGUAGGGUUAUAAGUGCCAGAGUUAUGGAGGAGGGGCAUUUGUAGAGUACUGCAUGUGGAGAAUUGGAAGAGAGACUAAGGACAAACAGCUUGGGGCUGCUGGUCACAAUCUGAGCCUUGACCCUCGCUACAGAUGAUCAUCUUCUUCCUCUUACUGUUGAGGAAUCUCAGGCUCAGGCAGGGGCCUCUUGUUGCGGGAAGUCUCCCCUGAUUGCAAUGAUAUCUCAGACUGCACAAAAUUCUCCUCUCUCACCACCCCAUCUGUAUUGAUCUACACUUAGAUUUCACCAUACUAACCUGUGUGUGUCUCCUCCGCUCCAGAUGGCAUUCUAUGGGCAGGCCCUGAGUCCUACUCGCCCUCAGUGGAGCAACUUUUGUUUUGAGGGUGACUGACUGGUCCAAAGCCCCUCAGGCUCUGUCAGGAGAGCCUCUUUAAUGACUGUUCUAGGCAACCCAAAGUGUUUUCCAUGUCCUGCCCCCAAGACACCAAGGCACAUAAUGUCUUUGGAAGCACCGGAGGAAACUGAGGCUCAGGCCCAUAAAUCUGCACAGGGUCACACAGGGAGCUGGGGUACCCCAGGAGGAGAUCCUAGGUCUCCUUGCCCUCCCAGGACUCCUCCUGUCACUCUUUUUAUAAAAAUAAACUUUUUGAGCUGUACUCUAUACACAGUGAAAUGCACAGAUUUUAGGUGUACAGUUUGAUAAGUUCUAACAAAUGUAUAAAGCCGUGUGGCUUCCACCACAAUCAAGCUGUGGAUUGUUUCUGUCACCCUCUGGCCCCUUCCCUGUAAGUCCUCUCCCCGCCUCCGCCACCCCAGGCAGCCACUGCUCUGCUUCUAAUCACUGUAGAUUAGUUAUGCCUUUUCUAGAACUUAAAUGGAAUCACUCUUACCAUUAUUUUGUAAGUUUCUUUGUUCUACAUCUCUAACAAUCACCAGGGCCUCCUGUGACUCCCUCUCUGAGCUCCACCUCUGUCACACCCUCAUGGCCAUGGGGGUGACACAAGAGGCAGCAGCUCGGGGAAGCUGCUGGAAAGGAGCAGCCUCAGGAGUUCAGGCCAGGCCCCCCCGCCUCACCCUCAGGAUCCUUGCCGAGGUCCCAGGGAAUAGCAGACCCCCUCCCAUAGCUGGUAUGUUUUUCCAGGAAGGAACAAUGGCUCCUUCUCUGGGCAGCUCUCCCAGGGGACAUUUCGUCAGCAGCCAGGCCUGCAGGCUUGGGCUCUUGGCCCCUCUGCAGGGCUUGGGGCUGGGGGAUUAUGUGAUGUUGGAAGGGGAUAAAGAAGGGUUGAUUGAGUUGGGGGCUAGUGGACACGAUCAGUGUAGGAGUAAGGAGGCUGGUCUGCAAUUUUUGGCUUGUAGGGUACAACAGGCCCUCCAAGCAGAGUGGCCAAUGUUGGGUGAAGUCCAGUUAUUAUCAGACUGUGUGAUCAGCCCUCACCUCAAAAAGUAUGCAUUUUAAAGGAAGAUCCUGGACCUGGUGAAGGUACAUAUCCAGCUCCCCACGCCACCUCCACCUUUUCUUUUUUCUUUGAGACAGGGUCUUGCUCUGUUGUCCAGGCAGGAAUGCAGUGGCGUGAACAUGGCUAACUGCAGCCUUGAUCUCCUGGGCUCAAGUGAUCCUCCUGCCUCAGCCUCCCAAAGUCCUGGGAUUGCAGGCGUGAACCACCGCACCCAGUCAAAUGAGGUCUUUUUGCUUACUCCAAAUACAGGGGAAACCAUCAGCCCAGGCUGGAGGGCAGUGGUGCGAUCUUGGCUCACUGCAACAUCCGCUUCCCGGGUUCAAGUGAUCCUUCCAUCUCAGCUUCCCAAGUAGCUAGGACCACAGGCGCAUGCCACCAUGCCUGGCUAAUUUUUGUAUUUUCAGUAGAGACAGGGUUUCACCAUGUUGGCCAGGCUGGUCUCGAACUCCUGACCUCAGGUGAUCUGCCCACCUUAGCCUCCCAAAGUGCUGAGGUUAUGGGGUGAGCCACCGAGCCCAGUCCAUGUAAACUUUUAAGGUCUAUCUAGUUCACUGCCUGUCACUGCUACAUAGGAUUCCACGAUGUGCAUCCUCUAUGUCCCUUCUAGCUGGCCUCCUGUUCUAUCUAUCUACCUAGAUAGAUAGAUAGAUAGAUAGAUAGAUAGAUAGAUAGAUACGGAGUCUAGCUCUGUUGCCCAGGCUGGACUGCAAUGGCGCCAUCUUAGCUCACUGCAACCUCCACCUCCCGGGUUCAAGCAAUUCUCCUGCCUCAGCCUCCUGAGCAGCUGGGAUUACAGGUGUGUGCUCUGGCUAAAUUUUGUAUUUUUAGUAGAGAUGGGGUUUCACCAUGUUGGCCAGCCUGGUCUCGAACUCCUGACCUCAAGUGUUCCACCCGCCUUGGCCUCUCAAAGUGCUGGGAUUACAGGGGUGAGUGACCGCACCCGGCCAGCCUCCUGUUUUAGACCUCCAGGUCACCUCUAACUCCCCGCUCCACAAACACGCUACAGUGAACGGCCGUACGUGCCCCUCCUGGGCCUGAUGAAGGUACGCAGCCAGCUCCCUGGGUCACCUACAGCCCUGCUCAGUCUUCUCCCAAGCCCCCAGCACCACUGGUGGGGGUAGGCUGGGGCGGGUCUCACCACCCAAAGACUGGGUGGAUGGGCUUGCUCAGACUACCCAGGAAAACCCUGGCCACCAUCAAUUUCUUGCUCCCAGGAGGGAGACAGGAGCCUGGGGUCUUGCCCUACUGUGUCAUAGGCCUUCUGUGUGGCCUUGGGUUGACCCAGCCCCACUUCAGGCUUCAUGGCCUCCAUUCUUCCACUUCUAAUUGUCCUCCACCUGACUCGGGGCCUGAGGCCCUGUGCCGGCCUCUGUGGGCAUUCUUCCUCAGAUGCAGGCUGCACAGAGCCUGGGCCAGGAUGGCAGGGAUGCUGAGUCACGGGGCAGCGAAGACCCUUGAGAUGGCCAAAGCCAGGAUGCUCGGCUGGGGAGGAGCUGCGUGCGAGGGAAUACGGUCCCAGGGCCAUUCAUUCCACAGGGAGACAGCCAGCCACUGAUGUGGGGUAAGCCUUUUAGCUAUAGCAUGCCCUUCAAACCUCCAGGACAGUGAAGACACGGAGCCGAGAAGACAGAACCAAUGUUCUAUAUCCUGGCUCUGCCCCUGGAGCUUCCUCUGUGGGAGUGUGCAGGAGCACAGUAGGAGGAACCUGUCACACUGACUCUUGGGGCCUGUGUGCUCGGGACAAGCCCACCCUGUCCUCCUGCUCAAUGCUGGGUCUGGAGUUGCUGACGGCUCCCGUGCCCGCCCUCGGGAACCGGAGGACAAAGACCAUCUGCCCCUUCCCUGGUGGGAUGCAGCUGGGGCCUUCUCAGGGGGGAAGCUCCAGAGGUGAGUUCACUGUCUUGUCCAGUCUCCCCAGUCCCCUUUCUGAGGCUCACUUUCCCCAUCUGGAUGAUGAGGGAGACUGAACUAGCUGGCCCCUGAACACAGGUUGGAUAGAUCGAUAAACACUUGGAGAUUAAAAUACUUUUUAGGAGCUGUUCAGUUCAUUCCCCAGCCUUGGGCAAGAGCCCGAGCCCUCUCACAACCCCUACAGACGAUACUUUAGCAGUCAGGAAAUUCUCCCACCUUCUGACCUAAAUCCUUCCUGCUUCAUUAGAAAUCUGUUCCCUCCUGCCCAGCGGUUCCUGGAGGGAGGCUGCCUGGCGCUGAGAGCCCUGUGGCUGCCUUCCCAUUGCUCGUCCACACCUCACCUGUUUCCCUCUUGGCUUCCUCUUUUUUGUGGGUUCAGUAAACCUUGUCUCUGGAAUCUUUCCUCUCCAAGCCUCCUCCUCAUGAGGGGCAAAUGAUGGAAAGUGGAAUGCAAAAGAGCCCUAAUCUCUUGAGCCCAGGGCUGGAGGAUAAACAAAGUCCAGGAGGAACUGGUCAGUUGCUUGUGAAAUAUGUGCUGAGCGGGAUGUUUUGGCUAGCGCAGCCAGACUCCAGAGGAGCCCCUAGGUGGCAGAGAAGCAGAAAGCUCUGCAGAGCAGGGCCUUGAAUAAAGAUGAGCCAGAGAGGCCUCCACGGCGGGAGCUGGCUGCCCGAUUCCCUAGGAAAUGAUUAUCUCAUAAUCAGGAAAUUAACUUGUCAGCACUGGCCUGGCAGUGCCACACCUGCUUGGUGAGCAGGCAGGCAAGGUGGCUGCAGAUUCCACUUUGCCCCAUAAUGAAGAUGUAACCCAGCUCAAGCCUGAGAGCUAGGACAGCCAUCAAGCCAGGCCCAGGGUCUUCAAUGGCUCCCCAUUGCCCACAGAAUCAAGCCUAGAAGUCUCAGAGUGGCAGCUAAAGCCGUCUGUGGUUUGACCUUACCUAGCCUUCCAGAACUCUUAAUCCUAAGGAUCAGUAGGCAGGUCUCUGGCAGCAUACCCCAACCUUUUUUACCCCCUGACUCCAUGGUGCCCUUGUCCUGGAAUUCCCAGCUAUGCAUGUGCAUGCGCGUACACACACACACACACACACACACACACACACACACACACCAGCUCUACCUAUGCAGAGGCACACAGUCUUUAGCUCCAAAGCCCACCCUGUCAGUCCUGAACACCCCUCCACCACCACCCUGCACCCUUUUACAGCACUCACCUGUCCACCCCACCAAUGGGGAGAGACAGCAGCAGAAGGGCUUGACUCACAGAAGGGAUUUGUAAGUGUGUGCUUGAUUGCGCCAGCUGCCCAGGAGGCAGGCUGGGCUGAGGGGGAGGCAGACAAUGCUAACCAAUGCGGAGGUCAGCUCCCUGCUCAGAGGCCAAGCCUCUGCUGCCUCUCUGCACACCUAAUGCACAUUUCCUCCCAGCGUGAACCCAACCCCUGCCCCUGAGCCCUCCCCGCCCUUGCAGGCCCUGCCUGGUGCCCCCUACCCCACCUCUAGAAGCUUCCCUUGAUGCUUCAGUUACUCCAGGGGUUCCCUCCUUGCCCUCUCAGGCCCUGCACAGUGACCUGAAAUUUUCAUAUUUCUUACAAAACUUACGCUGCCCACAGCCUUCCCAUCUCAGCUCAAGGCAAUUGCAUCCUUCCAGCCACACCAGCCAUAAACCACUGUGUGAUCCCUGACACCUCUCUUUCUUUCAUACCCCAUAUCCAACCCAGCAGGAAAUCCCCUCAGCUCUAUCUCAAGAACAUACCCUAAAGCUGGCUUCCUCCAUUGCUACCACUCUUCCUACUCUCUGGAACAGCCUCCUGUCGGUUCCCCUGGCUGACUCUCCACUGUCCACUCCUGGCACAGCAGUCAGGGGCCCUGUUUAGCAGUCAGGGACCCAUGCUUCUACUCAGCUCAAACGCUGAGUAAAAGGGAUGCACAGAAAAUAAAAGGCAAACCCCUUACAAUGGCCGACAAGCUCCCCAUGGCCCGGACCCCAUUACCUCUCUGACCUGUCCCCUGUUAUACCUCCAUUUCCACUCUACUCUGUUCUAACCACACUGGAGCACACCUGAAAACCCCAGGGAACUCCUGCCUCAGGGCCUUGCACUGGCUGUCUUCCUAUCUGGAAUGCUCUUCCUGCAGACAGCUGCAUGGCUCACUCAUAUGCCUCAAGUCUUUGCUCAAGUGUCACCUUCAUGAGGCCUGACCACCUUUGCAACCUGUCCCUCUCCUACACUCCCGAUCUUCCUUACCUAUCUCUAUUUUUCCACAGCACUUAGUACCUUCUAUUUUUUUUACAUAUUUAUUAUGUUUAUACAUGAAAAUAGAAGAUCCACAAGGGCAAGAAUUUUGUCUCUUUCUUUUCACGAAUGAAUACCCAGCUCUAGAACGGUGCCCAGCAUACAGUAAGUCGCUCAAUAAAUAUUUGUUAAAUGACUAUUUCCUCAUGAGAUGAUAUCUGCCCUAUUUCCUCACGAGAUGAUAUCUGCCUUCUGCAGCCAGGCAAGAGCCCAUGAGGGCAGGGGUGAGUGGUAUUAUCUUUUGCCUGUACUCAGCUUCUGGUGCACGUCUCCCAGGUGCACAGUGGGUGCUGAGAGCUGGCAAAGACAGACAUGGACUUGGGCCACUCUCCACCCCAGGUGUCUGUUUUCUCACUGCCAGGCUGAGACGUCAGUGAGGCCAGGGAGGGUUCUGGGAUGCCCCUGAAAUUCUCCACGCCCAGCUCAGGGCCUAGCACCUGUAUGUCCUUGGCAAGUGCGUGAGCCAAUGCCCAUACUCCAUAAAACGUCUGGUGGCACUGCCUGUGUGAGCACAGACUUCAUUGUCAAGCAGGGUCUGGAAUCGAUUCCCAGAGUCCUUUCUUUUGCAGAAAGAUUUGCGUUGGGUUUGGAAAACCUGUGGUUCCAGCUGGCCCACAAGCAGGGGGAAGGAUGGGUUGUCUCUUGAGGUUUGGAUGGCAAAGGCCUCUGGGGCCUCGCUUUCCCAUCCUGUGUCUCUUCCUGCUUUGGCAUUCUGACACCCCUCUCCCCAUUUCCAAGUGGUACUGCAAUGCCUGGUUUCUGGGUGCCCAUCAGCAAGAGGGAGAGGGACCCAGACCCAACCCUCACCCUGUGAUCAUGAGUCCCGACAAAAAGAAGGCCCUUGGUCCAGCUGCCUGUGGAAAUGAGGCGGCUAGGUCAGGGCCAGGGGAGGGGCAAGUCUAAACCUCUCUUUCCAGCAUCCCAACCCUGACUGCUCUUCUGCAGGAAUGCUGGGCACAGCAAUUGGAAGGAGGUGUGGGCCGCCUGGGCGGACCCCAGCUCCCUCCCUGCCCCUUUCCUCUCCUGCCCAUGUCAGCCACUGUCCUGGGAAGUCUUCCAUGUGUUCCCAGCUUAGAAAGGAGGUAGAAUGGACUCAGGAGCUACUAGGGAGCUACUGGAGAGGGGUACACCUUCUGAGAGCAGAGGAUGCUGCAGUGAGGACCCCUGAGGUUAGGAGGAAGGAGAGAGGACAAAAAGCCAGAGCUCCCAGGCCAAGUCUAGCAGUAACCUGGUGCCCAUAAUGGUACUAAUGGCUCCCAACCCUGCUCUGCCACCAUCCCCAGCAACUCUGUGGGGCCCGCAAACUUGAGGCAAAAACCCAAAUUUGGUUUUUUUCAGGUGUUUACACCUCAGGGGAACAGUGAACACAGAGACAGGUGACACAGAAUAUAAAACACCCGUCCCUAAGAGACGGAACAGAGUGAGGCCAGGGCCCACUGGAUUGGACAGUCAGCCUAGGUCUAAGCUUGGCCACUCAUUAACCCUGAGACCUUGGGUGAGUUGGUUAAUUUCUCCGAGCCUCAGUUUCCUCAUCUAUAAAAUAGAGCUGAUAAUACUAUUUAUCUCACAAGGCUGUUGUGGGAAUUAAAUGAGAAAAAUAAAAUGCUUAGCAUAGUGUAUGUUCAAUAAAUAUCAGAUAUUCUUAUUCUUAUUAUUGAAAACAGGAGCUGUCUCUUCUUGCAGGGAUGGUCCAGUUUGAGAGCAGGGGAGAGAGAAGGUGCCUUGCAAGUGGCUGAUAAGAGAGGAGACAGGAAGUCUGCCUGGAAUGAGGCUGCUUAGGACUCCACUUGUUUGUUCAGACACUGAUGACUCUCAAAGGAGAAACAGGGAGGCAGGAGGAGGGCCCAGAACCCUCCGUUUCCACAGCUUGUCUGAUCCGACACAGCUUUCUAAGCCUGAAGACUCUUUUUCUUUCUGAAGGAACAAUCUGAGACAACUUCGGGGAAGGAAGGAGGGAUGCUGAUCUGUGAUUCUGCCUCCAGGGCAAGUCGCUUAACUUCUCAGGGCCACAGUUUCCUCAUCUGCAAAAUGGGGAUAACAAUCCCAGGGUUGUCACAGGGAUUAAGUGAUUCUAACUGCAAAACUCCAAGAACAGUGUCCGGCACUUAGUAUGCACCAUAUGAGUGUUUGUUACACAAACGUUCUGGAAUCUGCAAUGACCAUGACCAGGCUACACCCUAACCCCACACUGGGGAGAGACUCUGCUUCCAAAGUCUUUCACACUCACUGUCCCAUCUCACCCUGUCACAACCAGUGCCCAGAAUCUAGCACUCAAAUAUCUGUUGAAUGAAUGAAUGACCAAAUGAAUGAGUGAAUAAAUGAGGUGUACAAGAUAAGCAAUAAUAUAUAAAUUUUUUUUUUAAAUGCAUGGUUGUUAAGAACUCAGGAUAGAGAGUCACACAGACUCAAAUCCUGGUUCCACUACUAAAAGUCAGCAAGUGAGCUCGUCACCACAUCUGUAACACGGGACAAAUAACAGUACCUGGCUAGGACCUGGGAAUUAAAGGAGAUGAUGUAUAACGCACUCAGCAAAUGCAAGCAUAAUUCUUCCUCUGGAUGCAGAUGUGGGAGGUGAGGACCACAGAGGCAAAGCUGGCAGAGGGGUCCAUGCUCAUGCCCUGCCCCACCCUGCCCGCAGGCUGAACAUGAUAUCCUCCUGGGUCAUCUCACUGUGAUGCAGAGAGCACAGGUUCAGUUUGAAUUCAAGCUCGGCUGUACCCUUCUGUGCCACCUCCCUAGGCCUGUUUUCUCAUCUACACCAGGAGGACCAUAAUCUGCACCUCAUUAGGAGGUUGUGAGGAUGAAUGAAACUGCACAUUGAAGUCAGUAAGCCCAGGAAGUGGUCUUCAGCAAAUGGCCAAGUUGGUAUUAUUAUCCCUGCCUCUGGGCUCUAACUCUGGAAGCUUGUUGGGUGAAGCCUGCUUUGGUCCUUCCCUGCAUCUACUCCAAACUCUGCAGGGGAAGGCGAGUGACCUGGAGGGCAGAGGUGGGCAGGCAGCCUGUGGAGGUGGGGUGGAGCAGGCCCAGGUGAGCUAGGGGCUCAGGCAGGAGAGGUGGUAGCAGGCAGCCAGGGCUGCUCUCAGGGACUGAGGGUCCAGACAGGUCUGGCCUCUUGGGUGCAGGAGGCUGGACAGAGAAGGAGGUACCCUAGAAACACCCUUGCAUGUGUCUAGGGAGGUGUAACAUCUAGGCCCACGAGCAGCAUGGUCCCAUGGGGGCUGUGGAGGCUUGAGAAAAGGAGGAAGAAAGGACAGGAAGGAGGUGCCUCUAACUCUGGAGUGCUGGGCUGAGACACUAGAUUUUGUCCUAAAGGCCCUGAGGAGCUACAGAAUCUUCUUGAGCAGAGGAGUAACCUGGUCAGACUGCAGGGGUUUAUCUGCCCCACAUGCAGGACAGACUGAAGAGGGAGAGACUGGGAGCAAGGGACCAGGGAGGAGGCAGCUGCGGUUCUCUCCUGGCCUCUGAUUGGCCAUGUGAAGUCAGGGAUAGAGGACACACGUCAGGCAAGGCUAGCACAGCCAUCCAAGAUGCCCUGGGAGGAUGCCCAGGGCUGCCUGUUCCAUGUUCCUUUCACAGGAUUGCCAGAGCCGGUGAGUCAGGCGGGGGGUGCGAGGGUAAGGCCUUGGGAGGGGAGCUUUGGUCUUCUGGGGCUGUGGGGCUUCUUAGGUGGCACUAAGACCCCCAGCUCAGACAAGCUGAAACUCCAGGGAGGCAGGAGCUGAGGCGAGGAUCCCAGGAGAGGAGGGCCUGGUUGGUAAUAGCAGGAGUGGUCACAUCGAGGGAGCCGACACAGUGCAGGAGACCCAGCUGGGCCUGGGAAGUGGCUGGCCACCCUCCAGGCCUCUCUUCAAGGAUUUGCUAUGAGAGCCAGGCAAAGUAUGUGACCCUCUCUGGGCCUCUGUUUCCUCUAGUUUCUUUUCAGUUUCAUGUUUCAGAGUUGGAGAGAAUGGUACUGCAGGAAGCCUUGGGCAGUCUCAGUGCCCAGGGUAGGAAGGAAGAGGGCACAGGUACCCGAGGAAGAAACUGGGCUCAGGACAGGCGCUUGGAAACCACCCACCCAUGGAGGGAGGUGGGUGGUGCUCACAUGUGCUUGGUGUUGUGAGGACACGUCCACGCCCACACACACUCACAGGCUGCCAGCGCCCAGCCUCAGACCCCUGGGUGUGUGGCCAGGAGGAAUGAAGUCAGUCUCGGAGAAUCCGCCUUGGGCUCCCACACCAGGCCUGGGGGUCUGAUCUCAAGCACAAGGCUUGGCCUUCCCUGGGCUGGGAUUUUCCACGGUCUGGCCUAGCAGGGUGGGGAGGGAGGAACCAAUGAUGGGAGAGACUACUGCUCCCUCUCUGGCCUCUUUGUGAGCCCUAAACUAGCCUGCAAUCCCCUCCCCAGCAAAAAACACACUCCCACCCCACACCCUCAAUGAUUAGGGGAAGGGGCACCUGGAUGGUGCUGAUGACCAUCCCUUGCAGCAAUGCUUAGACAUUGCUUCCUGUGGAAGUCUCCCUGAGCCCUAGCCCCUGACAGGGAGGGCCCUCCUCUGGGCUCACAAAGCCCCUGGCCCCACCAAUGCUUGCCUAAUCACAGCACUGAGAUGCCCCUCCUGGUAGACUGCCCCAGGGAAGGGCCUGGACUUGAUGCAUGUGAGUACACUCAGCUUGGCACCUAGGAUGCUACCUUCAGGGGAGAAAUGUUUUUGACCCAAAAUGAACUGUGGGGCUCAGGGUAGUGGCCAGAGGUCUGCUAAGCACCAAGCACCCCCACUUCAGACAUGGCCUUGCCCUGUCCCAUUCCCCUCUCAAUCAACUGGCUUCCUUAAGAACUAACAGCCCAAAGACAGGCCCUAGAAGACCCACUGACUUGGUGCCCAGAUGCCAAGUCCCAGGCAUGCCUCUGCCAAUAUUGUGGCAUUUGAGAGCUCAGUUUUCUCUGCCCAGAGGUGGGGCCCAUCAGGCUGAGCCUCAUGCUGAGGUCUUGCAUUCUAAGAAAAGCCACUGCAAAAGUUUAGCACCCUCUAGGUAAAACAUCCUAUUCUCCAAGGGGCCCUAGAGCAGCUGAUGCAUGGCUAUAAUGCGCCCUUCUGCAGGGAUGCUGCAAGUACCUGGUAAGGACCAGAGCAGGUGGAUGCAUCCUUCAUCACACCACAGAAGGACCUGCCAUCUGAUUUUUCCUGAGCUCCUGCAGGUUCUUAAAGUGGGAUUCAGCACACAACUCAAAAGCGACACCUUGGAUGUGAUAGAGUGAGUGUUCCCAGUGGAGACGCUCCUCUCCCCUAGUCUUGGCCUCCAGCAGUACCCAGGGAGACAGGCACCCCAUGAGCAGCAGCCCCUCACUGAGGUCAGCUUGGCUGGAGACAAAGCAUCAUCCCUCUGCUGACAGAGGCUGAGGAGGAGGCUGGGGCACUAGCACCUAUACUCUGAGGCACUGGAGGGCUCAGUCAGCCCUUACUUGGUGGGCCAGGCACAGCAACCUCAAUGGGGAGCAGAGAAUUAUGGGUAGAGGAAACUGACGACAGCUUGAAAGAGGCAAGGCAGAGUUGGACUGCAUAAGUAUUGGGGACUGAGUAGAAAACCUUGGCCCAAAAGCUGCCUGUAUGGAGAGGGUAGCAGGGAGGGGGAUUCUAGGACAGCAGAGAAUGGCUGAUGGCCGUCCAGCACUGGCCACACCCACCAGUCAGCCCUUGUCACAGUAGCCCUGUCUGCUAACAGCAUGUGUGGAAGCUGCCUUUCCACUGUGUCCUCAUGUGCAGAGGGCUUGGGCCUUCCCAAGAGGAGGACGUAUGUUCACCCCCUGAAAAGCCAGAGGGAGUCCUGUCCACAGCUGGGGCUCUCCGCCAGGGCCAGGACUAGGGUGAGGGGAAUGAGGCCAGUGAGGUGUUUUUUUUUUUUUUUCCUCGGGGUGCAAAAUUUUAGGGGGUGCCAAAAAAACUCAGUAACGGAGAUAAGUAAUAUUUAACACAAUAGUUUUUAAAAUAAAAAUUAAUGCAAAACUAUCUGUAAUGAACAAAAUAUCCAAAUAUCAAAUAAAGACAGGAUCCGUGUUGCUGAUUUUUCAGUUAGCCUCAGGCUCCAAUAUGGCUCGGCAUACCACUAUUACUGACUCUAUUUAAAAUCUGGAUAUUUCCUUUAUCACAGGUUUUUUUUUUUUUUUUUUUUUUUUGCAUUAAUUUUGACUUAAAAAAAUACAUCUCAAUAUUACUCAUCUCAACUACUGUGUUUUUUGGUAGCCCCUGAAAUUCUGCACCCAGGCCAGUGCCUGACUGGUCUCUCUUGCCCCAGCCUUGCAGACUCCCCUGAGGAAGUCCGGACUCCUGCCUGGAGCACACGCUCCCCUCUAACCUCCUGCGCACUCAAGCCAACCUCACACAUGCCCAGUAAUGGGCAGCCUGCCACACCUCCAGGGGCAUCCCUUAAGGCCUUUCUGGCCCUGAAGACUCAGGUUUCUGAUGCUCCUUGCCUCACCCUGUGAGCUGGCAUAGAACAUCUCUAAGGGGGGAAGGAGAUGCCCUCAUUGAAAUGAGGGAGAAGGUGGAUGAGGGGCUCCUUCCUUUUGUCCUCAGAUGACCCAAGCCAAGUGCAGAAGGCGAGCCUCCUCCCAAAGCUCGGCUAGUCCCUCCACCAAAGCCAGGAUCAGAGCCCACACCUGCCUGGCCAACCCCUGGCACUGAUGAUGCCUGGGUGCGGGUUAAGCUGGGAGGUGAGAUGCCAGGGGGGUGCUGUUGGCUGGGUCGGGGGAAGUCGGGAGGGGGCGCUGCUCCGUGCUUAGCAGCUCCGGGGAGGCCUCCAGGAAGUUCUAAGGAGGGGCCCGGGGGGCCCGGAGCAGUUUCCAGUGGCCAGGGGUACGCGCGGCCGGAGGGGCGCCGGGGCCGUACUCACCGCGGCCGUUCUGGUUGGGCCGGUACACGCUGCCCACGCUGAGGCGGCCCUGCUGCGCGCCGUUCCGCUCCCCACCCGGCGGGGGCGUGUCGGAGCUGCGCACCGGCAGGAGCUCCUGCCUGCCUGGAUGAAGAGGAGGUCAAGACUUUGUCCCCCACUCCGCAAGAUACCCUCUCUGUUCCGGAGCGGUGGGUCCCUCCCCUGUUAGGACCUUGUCUCCCUCAGGACUGGACCUGGAUCCUGGGCCUGCAGUCAGAUUGCCAGUUUCACUUAGAGGUGGAAAUGUCAACCCACUGGUUGGAAUGGGAAGAUCUUGAGAGCCAUUUCCACGUGGAGCAAGUGGUGGCUACCAGCCUUGGGUCUACAUAACUAGGGCCUCAUCCCUGGCCCAAGAAUCCUGCUCCACAGCCUUCUUGUGUCCCUGUAGGAGGAGAAACACCUGGCAACUUAAAUUUUUUAAAAUAACUUUUUUUUUUUUUUGAGACGGAGUCUCGCUCUGUCUCCCAGGCUGGAGUGCAGUGGUGCGAUCUCGGCUCACUGCAAGCUCCGCCUCCCAGGUUCAUGCCAUUCUCCUGCCUCAGCCUCCCAAGUAGCUGGGACUACAGGCACCUGCCAUCACGCACGGCUAAUUUUUUUGUAUUUUUUUAGGUGAGACAGGAUUUCACCAUGUUAGCCAGGAUGGUCUUGAUCUCCUGACCUCAUGAUCUGCCCACCUCGGCCUCCCAAAGUGCUGGGCUUACAGGCGUGAGCCACCGUGCCCGGCCAAAAAUAACUUUUAAAAACAUGAGUAUAGCAUACACACACACAAAAGUCCACAAAUCCUAGGUGUACCACUUGAUGAAUGAUCCCAACGUGAGCACACCUCUGGAUUACCACCUGGAUCAAGAAAUAGGACAUCACAGCAGCUGGCAGCUUCCAAGGAGAAGCUCUGGAAAGUUCUGCCUGUCUCAGCACCUGGCUGGAUCGGAAACGAGUUUUCUUUAACCAGAUUUUUAAUGACUGACUUAUGUGGACAAAUCAUAACUGAAUGAAUCACCUCCUUUGUUGAUUUUUUUGGGUACUUUAUUUGCUAUUAUAAAUGAUGCUGUAAUAAGCACCCUUGAAGAAAUCUUCAUAUCUGCCUCUCCUGUGUAGCAGGUCACAGUGCCUGGGUUUGGUUCUAGCCCUCAUUUGUGAACUGUGUGACUCACCAUGCCUUUUUUCUUUCUGUAAGACAGGAAUAAUGGUAAGAAUUUAAAUGGGGGUAAUAUGGAGCGCGUUUAGUUCAGAGCCUGGUGCAUACAAGCACUCAAUAAGUACUGGCGAUUAUUAGACCUUUAGAUUAAUUUAUUAGAAGUUGGAUUUCUGGUGAAAGGGUUUGAGUGUUUUUGAGGCUUUGGCACAGAAUACCCAGCUGGUCCCAGAAAGGUGGUUCCCAUUUACCUGCCCGAAGGUAAUUCACCCUUACUGAUACUGAGUACUGUUUUCUAAAAGAACAUUAAAAAUUGGAUAGGUUAAAAACAGGUGAAUACAUUUUUUUAGUUGCAUUUUUUUGGUUACCCGUGAGAGUGAACAUGUUGCCAUGUGUUUGCUGACCUCCUAAAUGGUCUAUUUGCUCCUACCUUUGUACCCCAAAAGUCUGCUCUCAAGAUGGUAGCCAGAAUGAUCCUUUUUGAGACAUAAGUCAAAAUUUCACUCUUCUCCUUAAAGCUCUGCAAUGGUUCUCAGGUUAAAAGCCAAAGUCCUGUUCAAGGCCUCCAGGGUCCUCACCACUUGGUCCCUUGCUCUUUCUGUUCUAGCCAACUUGGCCUUCUCCUGCCCCUCCGCCGCACCAUGGCAAUUUCCCCUGCUCUGUGUGGUCAACUACCUGAAUCUGUUCAAAGCUUUGCUCAAAUGUCUCCUUCCUGAUGAGACCUCCCCAGCCCCUGAGCUCCCCAUGCCUCACUCCUGAUCGCCUUACUUAACCCUUCUUUUUCUUUUUUGCCAGUAGUACUUAUCACCGUCUAAAAUACUUCAUAAUUUACUUGUUUAUUGUUUGCCCCUCUCCAAUAGAAUGUAAGCUCCUUGGGGCAGGGACCUUUGUCCUUUGUCUUGUUCACUGCUGUGUCCCAUGUGUAAACUUGUCUGGCACAGAAGAGGUGCUCGAUAAAUAUUUGUUGAGUGAAUGAAUGGUAAAUUUUCUGUUCAUAUUCUUUGACUAUUUUCUAUUGUAAUGUUCAUCUUUUUAGUAUUGGUUUAUAAGAUGUAUAUUUAGCACCUUUUCAUAUAUCACUCUUUGUCACAUAUUAUGCAACUAAUUUGUCAUUUCCAUCAAUUUUUAAAAUACUUUCUUGAUGCUUCAUUUUUAAGCUGUCAGAUUAUUAAUCUUUUCUUUAUGGUCUUGGACUUUAUUGUUGCAUAACCGCUGCCUUCACCAGGAACAUAUAAAUUUUCAAUUAAAUGUUCUUCUGAGAUUUUAUGAUUUCACUUUUUAUAUUAAACUCUUCAUUUUGUCUUCAUGUGUGGUGAGAGGUAAGAACAUAACUUUAAAGCAAAUUAACCAACUAUCCCCAAAUGAAUUAUAAAUAAAUUAAUCAUUUUCCAAUGAUCUGAAAGGCCAUUUUAUCAUACACUAAAUAUUUUUGUGUGUUUGACUGGGUUUACCGUUCUGUUCCGUUGGCCUAUCACAUCGUUCUUACAUUGGUAUUUGUUGCCCUAUUUUAAUGAUUGUAACUUUUUAAUAAGGGUUAAUGACUGAGAAUACAAGUCCCAUUGUUUUGUUUUAUUAUUUUUAUUAUUUUUUUGAGACAGGGUUUCACUCUGUCACCCAGGCUGGAGUAUAGUAGCACUAUCUCGGCUCAUUGCAACCUCUGCCUCCCUGGUUCAAGUGAUUCUCCCACCUCAACCUCCCGAGUAGCUGGGACUACAGAUGCAUGCCACCACACCCAGCUAAUUCUUGUAUUUUUAGUAGAGACAGGGUUUCACCAUGUUGACCAGGCUGGUCUUGAACUCCUGGCUUCAAGUGAUUCACCUGCCUCGACCUCCCAAAGUGCUGGGAUUACAGGCGUGACUCACCACGCCUGGCCCAUUUUUUUCUUUUGAGGUGUUCUUUGUGGCAAUUCAUAUAUUCUUUAAGAUAAAUUCUAAACUUUUUUUUUCUGCCGAGAUAAACUAGCAGACAAAUCCCACUGGACAUUGCAAUUGGAUUAGUUUUGUAGAUUAAUUUAGUGAUAAUCAACUUCUUUGCACCAUUGAGUGCUUCUGUCCGGGAACGUGGCAUAUCUUUCUAUUAUUAAGGUCUUUUUUAUUAUAGGUCUUUAGGGAAGCUUUAUUUUAUAGAUGAAUGUAGUGUGUUUGGUGCUUAUUUUCAUAAAAUAAAGCAAUGACAUCUGUGGCAGGCAGCUUCUGAAAUGGCUCCCAAUGAUCCUUACCUUCUGAUAGUCACCCCCUUGGAGAAUCCCUUUCCUUUGUGUGUGGGCUGGAUCUAGUGACUUGCUUCUCAUAAAUAGAAUAUGGCAAAAAAUGAUGGGUUGUUACUUCUGAGAUUAGGUUAUAAGAGGCGAAUUUCUGUUUUGCUGUAAUUUUGUCUCUCUAACCCUCUUGCUUUCCUGUGCUCAUGAAACCAGCUGCUGUGUUGUGAGCCACCUUAUGGAAAACCCAUGUGGCAGAGAACCGAGGGUGGUGGCUGGCCAACAGCAAGCCAGGAGCUGAGGCCCACAGUCCAACAACUGAGACUGGGUCCCACCAUAUUGCCUGGGCUGGCCUCGGACUCUUGACCCCAAGUGAUCCUCUGGCCUCAGCCUCCCAAGCAGCUGGAUUUACAGGCAGGCACCACCGCACCGAGCUAAAAACGCCUGGCUUCCCUGGGCCUGCUGCACCUGCUCUGGCUAGGUUGGAGAGGGCUGCAGGGAGGACCGCAGUCAGCAGAGGGCGCCAAAGCCUCUCAACACAAGCAUGGCCCAGGCCUGGCCCAGAAGGAGAGCGCUGAGAGCCAGGACUGGCGGGCUACGUGCGCCCUGUGGAUUCCCCCAUUUCCCAUGCUUCAUCCAGCCAUGGGCCUGCAGUGCACUCACAAAUGUGCAUAUACCCUCCUGUGUGUGUGUUACACUCAUCAAAUUGUCUCUGAAUUUGCUUGGCUUCAUGUGUUCCUGUGUGUGUUUAUGUGUGUGUGUGGUGUGUCUGGUGUAUCUGGUUCCCCAGGAAGCACAUUUGACAGCCCCACAGUCAGGGUCAGGGCACAGGGACAGAUACUGUGUCUAUAACAAUCCAUAACACUGAUUUUGUUCAUCUCAAUAAAUGUGAGAAUGAAAUAAAAAUUAAUGUAGAAUAUUUUGUACAUCUCAAUAAAGCCACUUUCUGGGGGCAGGCAUUAUAAUUCUAGCCUCUGUUCUACUGUUUGAUAGGUAAAGAAUAACUUUCCACAUAGGGAGAGGAAUGGACAGCUACCCAGCCCUCCCACUGUUACAGGCCUGGGCUAGAAGCUUUCCAUCUAGGCUCCUGGUUG
rnacentral:lncRNA from 1 species